rnacentral:rRNA from 1 species
CAGUCGCCGCGGGAAUACGAAGGGGGCUAGCGUUGCUCGGAAUCACUGGGCGUAAAGGGUGCGUAGGCGGGUCUUUAAGUCAGGGGUGAAAUCCUGGAGCUCAACUCCAGAACUGCCUUUGAUACUGAGGAUCUUGAGUUCGGGAGAGGUGAGUGGAACUGCGAGUGUAGAGGUGAAAUUCGUAGAUAUUCGCAAGAACACCAGUGGCGAAGGCGGCUCACUGGCCCGAUACUGACGCUGAGGCACGAAAGCGUGGGGAGCAAACAGGAUUAGAUACCCCGGUAGUCCCUGUCUCUUAUAC